GGCGAGAUGGCCGAGCGGUCUAAGGCGCUGUGUUAAGGCUCUCGGUCUCGGAACUCCGAGUCCGAUCAGCUCUCCGCAGUCUUCGGACGUGGGUUCGAAUCCCACUCUCGUCA